GUCCGCCAUUUUGAAAAUAUAUGCGGUAUCAUUCGUUAAUGUAUCGCAGGCGCCUGCGAUCCAUUAAUGAAUGAUACCGCAUAUAUUUUCAAACUGGUGGAUAAAA